GUGGCGAACGGGUGAGUAACACGUGAGCAAUCUGCCCCUGACUCUGGGAUAAGCGCUGGAAACGGCGUCUAAUACCGGAUACGAGCUGCGAUCGCAUGGUCAGUAGCUGGAAAGAAUUUCGGUCAGGGAUGAGCUCGCGGCCUAUCAGCUUGUUGGUGAGGUAAUGGCUCACCAAGGCGUCGACGGGUAGCCGGCCUGAGAGGGUGACCGCCCACACUGGGACUGAGACACGGCCCACACUCCUACGGGAGGCAGCAGUGGGAAAUAUUGCACAAUGGGCGGAAGCCUGAUGCAGCAACGCCGCGUGAGGGAUGACGGCCUUCGGGUUGUAAACCUCUUUUAGCAGGGAAGAAGCGAAAGUGACGGUACCUGCAGAAAAAGCGCCGGCUAACUACGUGCCAGCAGCCGCGGUAAUACGUAGGGCGCAAGCGUUAUCCGGAAUUAUUGGGCGUAAAGAGCUCGUAGGCGGUCUGUCGCGUCUGCUGUGAAAACCCGAGGCUCAACCUCGGGCCUGCAGUGGGUACGGGCAGACUAGAGUGCGGUAGGGGAGAUUGAAAUUCCUGGUGUAGCGAUGGAAUGCGCAGAUAUCAGGAGGAACACCGAUGGCGAAGGCAGAUCUCUGGGCCGUAACUGACGCUGAGGAGCGAAAGGGUGGGGAGCAAACAGGCUUAGAUACCCUGGU
rnacentral:rRNA from 1 species